UUUUUUUUUAAAGAUCAUAUUUAUUUGGAGAAAACAAAAAACCCACAACCCACAGGAUGGGAUUUUACAUCAAGACAUCUCCCAGGUAAUAAGUCUACAGGUUACAAAUCAUUUUCAUGGAAGAUAUUUUUGUACAAAUUUUACGUGUAUUCAGGAGUGGGACAUUAAUCAAUCCCUGUUUCUAUUUUAAUAGGGGGGCAAGGUAGGGGAAAGGGAAAAACAGUUUUGGAUAUAACUAUUUGGAAGGAGAGUAGACAUGAAGAGGGCAAACCCUAGCUUUUCAUUAUCUACAAUCAAUAGUUUUUUUUUUCUUUUUAAAAAAAGAAAAAAAACCUUUCAAUCUUCAAUACUCUUUAAAAGCCCACUUCUUAGCUACUGGCCAAUCCACACCAAUUAUUUAAAUUCACUUGGUACACACCUUUGUCCACUGGGUAAAUUAUAUUCAUUAUGCCCACUGCUGCAGCACGCAUAAACCAACACCCCUGCAUGGCUGAGCAGGGCCUAAUCUAGGACUGAUGGGGGAAGGGCUUGCAAACCAAGAUCAAGGUGUCGUUUCUCUGCUAAUACUGUCUAUCAAGCUGAUCCCUACAAAGAAAUGCAUAUAAAAGCAGGCAAGUUUAGCUACUGUGUUGCAAGAGAAACCAGGACCUUGUUAAAUAGUUCUCUCCAUUACCGUUUAUUCUCUCAAGGGAAGCUAAAAAAACAAAAAAACAAAAAAAACAAAAAAACAAAAAAACAAAAAAAACACGUUGGUCUGGCCACCUCAUGAAUCCAACAAGCAUUAGUGUGGCAUUUCAGUGGAGAAGGAAACUUGGGGGGAAAAAAGCCUAUCAAGGUUGUAAGAAAGGCUCCCAAUUUAACUGUCCCUGUCCCUAUUUAUCCACCAUCCAAGACCAUCCAUUAUUCUAGAGCACUCUGAUCUAUAAAAGGGGUCAAAGCAUCAGGAACAGGCAAGGAGUGAGAACCAAAAGACAUCAAGAAACCGAUUUGCUUGAGAAAAGCAGCGAUUCUUCCUUUCACAGCUCUCCAUGGCUGAGAGAGAAAAUGCCCAAGACAUCAUGUAUGUGACUUAGAUACUGCUUUUUGGGAGGUUAAGAGUAUCAUGAAGAACUUAAGAUGACGAUAAGAGUCUAAAUUUUUAGUUU
rnacentral:lncRNA from 1 species